rnacentral:rRNA from 1 species
CCCUUAGAUGUCCUGGGCCGCACGCGCGCUACACUGAUGCAUUCAACGAGUCUACCUUGGCCGAGAGGCCUGGGCAACCUUUUAAACGCGCAUCGUGAUAGGGAUAGAUUAUUGCAAUUAUUAAUCUUGAACGAGGAAUUCCUAGUAAACGCAAAUCAUCAAUUUGCAUUGAUUACGUCCCUGCACUUUGUACACACCGCCCGUCGCACCUACCGAUUGAAUGGUCCGGUGAGGACUCGGGAUUUUUACCAGUUUCCUUCAUUGGGAAUUGGUGAGGAGAACUUGUCCAAACCUUAUCAUUUAGAGGAAGGUGAAGUCGUAACA